UACGUAGGGGGCAAGCGUUGUCCGGAAUUAUUGGGCGUAAAGAGCGUGUAGGCGGUCCGGUAAGUCGGCUGUGAAAGUCCAGGGCUCAACCCUGGGAUGCCGGUCGAUACUGCCGGACUAGAGUUCGGAAGAGGCGAGUGGAAUUCCCGGUGUAGCGGUGAAAUGCGCAGAUAUCGGGAGGAACACCUAUGGCGAAGGCAGCUCGCUGGGACGUUACUGACGCUGAGACGCGAAAAGCGUGGGGAGCAAACAGG
rnacentral:rRNA from 1 species